UGCGCAGGCGGUUGUGCAAGACAGAUGUGAAAUCCCCGGGCUUAACCUGGGAAUUGCAUUUGUGACUGCACGGCUAGAGUGUGUCAGAGGGGGGUAGAAUUCCACGUGUAGCAGUGAAAUGCGUAGAGAUGUGGAGGAAUACCGAUGGCGAAGGCAGCCCCCUGGGAUAACACUGACGCUCAUGCACGAAAGCGUGGGGAGCAAACA
rnacentral:rRNA from 1 species